rnacentral:lncRNA from 1 species
CACGCUCUUACCAACAGAUUUUGCGCUAAUAACACCAUUAGAUGUUAUACUCUCAACUAUCCUUUGAUACGAUUCAGCCCUCAUUUCAAACUUUGACUGAUUAUGGUGAAAAAAAAUCUAGUCUUGUGUCUCGAUCUUAACAUAAGUAUCAAUCUGAAACUGUUGAAUUACUCGAUCAGUUCUAAGGAUAUUUAUUAUAUCGUCGGUGCGUAUUUGAAACAGAUAGCAAUAAUAUUAUCUCAUAGCAACAUAUGAAGGAGUUUUGAAAUUCCUCAACAAAUUUGCAUGGAGUGAUAGAUGAGUCCUUAUCAAAAGUAGUACAAUAUAAAACACAAAAUUAUCAAUAAAUAUUCUUAUCAAUUGAUUCACGCACCAACCAUUUUUCAUGAACAACAAAAAUACUAUUGUUCUACAAAAAGAAGUCGGCCUAAAUAACUCCCAUAUAAGCACAAAGACAUAAUACUAAGUUAAUAAUGAAAUCAAUGUAACACAUCAUAGAAUGCAAAAAAUAAUAUAAAAAAUAUAGUAAUAGAGAAACAUAAACUACAUUGCAGAAGACCUAACAAAUGAACAUACAACAAAACGAUUAAACACAUACUAUUUUAUUCGGCAACAAGUAGGGUGUCAGCUUCUUCGUGCAUGUGCGGAUCAACCGUAUUAUUUUCAUGAUAUAUUUUGUUCAGUUGGGUCCAAAUUCAAAUCAAUGUUGUCAAUAAUUUUGGAUAUUCCAGCAUACCAACCUGGCUCGCCAUACGAAAAGAUUAGACAAUACUGGAGAGGAUCAUAACAUCCAUAGUAAUAGUGCACAUAGCGAAUAUAGACAUAAUUCAACAAAUAUUAUGCACCUAGCAAACUUCUCAACGGAGUAGUUAGAGCAUGUGAACACUCAGGGCCAAAGAUAAUUGGCAUAGCCAUAUCACUUGCAGACGGAGGAGGUAAACUAAAACAUAAACGUCUUGAAGUUGUGACAGGGCCGUUUGAGCCAUCUAAACACAAAAAUAAUAUUAAAUUUGCAUCAAAACAGAUAAAGCAACAAAGAAUUGAAAAGUAAAUAGUAGGUGUGACAACACAGCUGGCAACAUGCAUUGUAUAAUAAUUUAAAUUCCCUUACACCAUACUUUAAAACAAAAACUCGAAAUAAAUAAAGGUAAGUGUGCAAGUGAUACAAAUGAGUUACAAAAUAAAAUAAAAUAAAAACACACAGAAAGCUCAACAGUAAGUAACCUUCGUGAAAGACACAUCUUCUUUUUGCCAUAAUAAUAAUCUAAAAAUGCGGUCAAAGUCCUACAAUGAGAAGUCGUAAUUUAACUGGUGAUAUAAUAAAUAUGAAAAGAAAAUGAAACAAAAUACUAUUAAGAUCAAAGAGGGAGCACUUACUGAAGUGCAAUAAACGGAUGAAAGUUUCCAGCAAACAAAUUUGAUCGGAGCAAGACAAUGGACCCUAGGGCGCCCUCGAAAACCAGAAAUCGAAAAUAAUAAUUAUAACACAAAGUAACUAAUCCUUAAAAAACCUACAGGCUAAAGGCAAUAACCCAAUCUGCUCCUAGUCCUAGAAUAGAACCCCAUUAAACUUCAAAACAAUAACUAUAAUGAAGAAACAUUGCGACAUGACUUUAAAAUACAAUGAAAGAGCGCAAAACACAUGAAGACAUAGAUCAGAACACAAAUAAAAAUUGAACAAAAACCAAGCGCACCGUUGAAUUUGGAGAGGCGGAAUAGCUUUCUUGUAGUAGAAACACUAAAGGAAGAAAAAGCACAAAAUAAGAAACUAAAAAAAUGUAGGAGAUCAUAAGAAAGCAAAAAAUCAAACAAAAUAUAUGAGCAAGUCAUCUAAUAAGAAUCAACUAUCAUACUCCUUAUUUAAUGAUGAAGGUCUUGAUAGUAUACAUUUACUUCUCAAGAACUAUAGUUCUAUAUUUAUUUAAUUCUAAAAUAUAAACCCAAAUUCAAAUUAGUUUGAAAGAAAAAUGCACUGAAGCUUGUCUAAAUUUAUAGAUUAUCAGUUACAGUUAAAUAACUAAGGCAUAACAAUUUGGACACAUAAUUUAUUCACAAUUUAACCUAAAUACAUUAUACAUGGUUAUAACAGAGCUUAGAUUAUAUUUUGUGGAGCUCAAUAAAUAAGAAAAAUUAAAAUGUAGCAUAGUUAUAAAAAAUGAAAUUAUAAGUUACUUAUAUAUAUAUAAAUCAUAAUGUUAUUCUAAAUAUAUGGCAUCGUAAAAAAAUAAAGCUAAACCAAACCAUCUCAUAAAAUUGCUCUUUUUUUAUAUAUAUUUUCCAUAUUUUGAAGUUGUUGCAUUAUAUCUUCAUCAGUGACAAUGAUGUACAACAAGAUUAGUGAAAUAUGAAUACAUGUAGAGGUCUCAAAAUAAAAUAAAACUAACCUAACUUACAUAUAGAAUAAAACAACUAAUACUGACUAUACAUAAUUAUAUUAACUCAGUUAUAUUCAAUUAAUCAAUUAAAAUAAGUUUAUAUUCAUACUGUAGGUCCAUUCCUCACCUGCACUCAUGAUCAAGCCCAACCAUACAUUAUUAUUAUCAAUUAAAAAUAGAGUCCUAGUCAAAAUCCACACAAUAUACUCCAUCUGCGUUUCUCUUCUGCACACUUGCACCACAAUUUCCUCUCUCUACCUUGUAACUCUUUUUCUCUCUCUACCCUCUCUCACACCUUCAUAUCUCUCUAUAUGUUUCAUAUUUGCAAUAAAGAGUAAAUCUCAACCCCAAAUCCCUUUUCUUCUUCUUCCCCUUUUUCUUAAUUUCCAAUGAAUAACCAAAAAAUAGCUUGUUCUCUCGUAGACCUCACUGUCGUUCCCCAUCGUCGACCCACUCUCCUCACCUCAGCCCGACUAUCAGCAGCUAAGAAAGCCGCUACUGAUGCGGAUACCGACGCCGGCUAGUACUCUCAACGCAGACAACGACACAAGAAACUGAGCCACAACUUAGCACAAACUCAGCCAAGACUCGAUGUUCCCGAUCGGCACCCUCAAAGCAAACAACAAAGCAAUGAACCCAUCCCCAAGACUAAUUCGAUUGUGUUAUUCUGAGCUCAGUUUCUUGUAAAAAUUCUAGGGUUAUAAAAAAGAAAAUUAUAAAAGCAGUGCAGAAAUCAAAGCUCACCUCCUUGUUUUGUUGGUGUAAUGGAUUUGUCUAGUGUGAUUUUUUGUUGGAUUAUGAUCAAUUUCGCACUUUCACUGGCAAAGAUUCUGACAGGAUUAAGGUGUUACGAAGGUGUGCAAACGCA